UUAAAUUGAAGCCAAAAAGAGGCAUAUCAUUGUUAAUGAUAUAAAUGAAAUUAAUUUCCAAUUAAA
rnacentral:tRNA from 1 species